rnacentral:rRNA from 1 species
UGGGGAAUUUUGGACAAUGGGCGCAAGCCUGAUCCAGCAAUGCCGCGUGCAGGAUGAAGGCCUUCGGGUUGUAAACUGCUUUUGUACGGAGCGAAGAGGUCUGCCCUAAUACGGUGGGCCCAUGACGGUACCGUAAGAAUAAGCACCGGUUAACUACGUGCCAGCAGCCGCGGUAAUACGUAGGGUGCGAGCGUUAAUCGGAAUUACUGGGCGUAAAGCGUGCGCAGGCGGUUAUGCAAGACAGAGGUGAAAUCCCCGGGCUCAACCUGGGACCCGCAUUUGUGACUGUAUAGCUAGAGUACGGUAGAGGGGGAUGGAAUUCCGCGUGUAGCAGUGAAAUGCGUAGAUAUGCGGAGGAACACCGAUGGCGAAGGCAAUCCUCUGGACCUGUACUGACGCUCAUGCACGAAAGCGUGGGGAGCAAACA